UGGAUCAGUCUGCGAAAUAUCUACUACAUGAAAAUCUGACAAUAAUCUGAAAACUAGGACAAGGUCCCCAGUAGACCAAAACAGUAAUAGAUAACAUAAUCUGAAAGGAAAGGCCCUCUGGAAUAGAGAAGGCUCACCACUGUACAAUUUGAUCUGCUGUCUGAAUUAUCUACUGCUUAUCUGGACCCCUAGGCUGAGCGUCAGAACCUGAGAGGUAGGGGAGGAGGGUCAAUACAGAUGUACUAGUACGCAGAGUAAAUCCAAAAUAGUAAUUUGUAUUCAACAUUUAUGAGGGCAAUUUAAAAUAAUUCAUAAAGAUAUCAUUUAGUAAGAAAUCUCAUGGGCAUUUUUGAGAGACUCUGAAAAAUCAUCUGAACUCUGUGACACUCUUUGUUUUACUUUUGUGCUAGGUGGUAUAACCUACAACACUGAAAUUCCAUGGGCUAUAUGGAAUCUGCCAUUAACUCGGCAGCCAAGCCCCAACCCAAGUGUGCCGCAAGGGUCGGAGUCUCUGAAACUACUACGCCACACGGCUGUCACCAGCGUACAUUAAUAAUCUACCCGUAUCGACAAAUACAAUAUUAGGCUAAGAGUUACUUGAACUCAAGCCUUCUACGGGUAACCACCUAACCCUCUUUAUGACCAUUUUUAUCUCUUUAAAAUAUGCAUUCUCUAGAAACAUAUUCUGAAAACAUUCUCUGAAGACAUACUCUGAAAACAUACUCUGUUAUGGCAUACAUACUUAUGGUAUCGUCAUACCAUUAACUUGCAAGUCAUACCUCUGAGACAUUAUUAGCAUAUUAGAAUCUUUGUUUCCAAAACAUAAAUUUUGGACCACCAUAUCAAUAAAUCAGUUUGAAGAACCGUUUUUCUGAUUACUCAUGUAAACAUAUGUAUGCAACUCUCUUUGACAGCAUUUCAAAUGAUACAAGGUGGUCAUGCCAAAAGCAUUAAUCUUAUGCAAAUGUUUCUCUCUUUAACAAAACACAUUUAUAUCAAAAGCUCCUUCUCAAAAUCUCUAAAUCAUGCUCAAAAUAUUAUGGUAUUUGAGUAAACUAUUUUCAAGCCAUAAAUCAUACAUAUCAAACCAUUCCCAACAAGACCACAAAUUUAAAGUCAUCACAAGAGAGAGAUUUCAUAAAUUAUGCUCUCAAACAAUCUUCAAAUCUUAAUUUUUUUCAUACAUAUACAUAUACAUGUAAAUAAAUUUAAGGGGGAAAGGCCUAAAGACCAAAUCAUCAAUAUCUUUAAAGAUUCAUAAUACAUAAUAAAAUCAUGGAUCUAAAAACCUCUUUAUAAAUUCAUGCUAGAUAGAUCUUUAAAUCAUACUUGAAUAUUUCAACAAGCUCAUGUAAUUUAGGAUAAACCCCAUGUGCCGAAGAUUAUUUAGUUUGAAAGAUGGAACCCGGAUCUAGAUAGAUGAAACCCGGAUCUAGAUCCGUUUCUUGAACAUCUUCACUUAGGAGGUUGAAUUCUUGAUCCAUUGAAGGGAAGGAAACUUAAAUCUUGAUUUUUUUUCUUGCAAAUCUUGAACUGAAGGAUUAAUUUUCUUGAUUUCUUGAUCUUGGAGGAAACCCUACUUUCCAUCUUGUUCUUGAGAGUAGAGAGGAUUGAGAUAUUGUAAAAC
rnacentral:lncRNA from 1 species